AUGGUGAGAUAUGCUGUCUUUGAAGUUUACAAUUUGUUUGACCAAAUCAACACUGAGGCAUUGCGCUGCAAAGUGGAAGUCCUAACUCCUACUACUACUAAGAUCUUCGAAGAAGCUGUCCUCUGCCUCACAUCGCCGAUCACUCUGCCAUCCGCGGAUUCCACCGGUGCCACAGCAGUCGUUUUCCUAUCCAGCAUAUCCUUUUCAUCGAACGCCCUUCACUGCAAAUCCGCAACAACCGUCGCGACACCACCUCCAUGA